rnacentral:rRNA from 1 species
AUUGAACGCUGGCGGCAUGCCUAACACAUGCAAGUCGAGCGGAUGAAGGGAGCUUGCUCCUGUAUUCAGCUGCGGACGGGUGAGUAAUGCCUACGAAUCUGCCUGGUCUAGGAGGAUAACGUCCGUAAACGGGCGCUAAUACCGCAUACGUCCUGAGGGAGAACGUGGGGGAUCUUCGGACCUCACGCUAUCAGAUGAGCCUAGUUCGUAUUAGCUAGUUGGUGAGGUAAAGGCCUACCAAGGCGACGAUCCGUAACUGGUCUGAGAGGGUGAUCAGUCACACUGGAACUGAGACACGGUCCAGACUCCUACGGGAGGCAGCAGUAGGGAAUAUUGCACAAUGGGCGAAAGCCUGAUCGAGCAAUGCCGCGUGUGUGAUGAAGGUCUUCGGAUCGUAAAACUCUUUAAGUAGGGAAGAAGAUAAGUGAAUGAAUAUCUUGCUGUCUUGACGUUACCAAAACAGAAAGCAACGGCUAACUACGUG